rnacentral:rRNA from 1 species
CACGUAGGGUCCGAGCGUUGUCCGGAUUUACUGGGCGUAAAGGGCGCGCAGGCGGCCCAGUCAGUCACCGGUGAAAGCCCCCCGCUCAACGGGGGAGGGUCCGGUGAGACGGCUGGGCUGGAGGCAGGGAGAGGGCGGUGGAAUUCCGGGUGUAGUGGUGAAAUGCGUAGAGAUCCGGAGGAACACCAGUGGCGAAGGCGGCCGCCUGGACCUGACCUGACGCUGAGGCGCGAAGGCGUGGGGAGCGAACGGGAUUAGAAACCCCCGUAGUCC